AAGUCGUAACAAGGUUUCCGUAGGUGAACCUGCGGAAGGAUCAUUAUUGAAUUGUUUGUUUGAAUUGGCUUAAAACCCCAAUUCAACAUCCAUAUCCAUAACACCUGUGCACUGUUGGAUGACCUUUGCUCUUAGGAGUGUUGGAAGUCCACUUUUACACUAAACAAUUUGUAACAAAUGUAGUCUUAUUAUAACAUAAUAAAACUUUCAACAACGGAUCUCUUGGUUCUC
rnacentral:misc_RNA from 1 species